rnacentral:rRNA from 1 species
CCAUUUCUGACGCUGAGGUGCGAAAGCUAGGGUAGCGAACGGGAUUAGAUACCCCGGUAGUCCUAGCCGUAAACGAUGGGUACUAGGCAAUGGGACAACCUAUGUGUUUCAUUGCCGCAGCUAAUGUGUUAAGUACCCCGCCUGGGGAGUACGCUCGCAAGGGUAAAACUCAAAGGAAUUGACGGGGGAUCACACAAGCAGUGGAGCAUGUUGUUUAAUUCGACGCGAAGAACCUUACCAGGCCUUGACAUGCAUGGAUUAGCUUCUUGAAAGGGAAGUGACGCCUCUUCGGAGGUGGAACAUGUGCAGGUGUUGCAUGGCUGUCGUCAGCUCGUGCCGUGAGGUGUUGGGUUAAGUCCCGUAACGAGCGAAACCCUUAUUGUUAGUUGCCAGCGGGUAAUGCCGGGGACUCUAGCGAGACUGCCGUUGUCAAAACGGAGGAAGGUGGGGACGACGUCAAGUCAUCAUGGCCCUUAUGGCCUGGGCUACAAACGUGCUACAAUGGUCCGUACAAAGGGUACCGAAGCCGCGAGGUGUAGGCAAUCCCAUCAAAGCGGGCCCCAGUUCGGAUUGCAGGCUGAAAUUCGCCUGCAUGAAGCCGGAAUUGCUAGUAAUCGCGUAUCAGCCAUGACGCGGUGAAUAUGUUCCUGAUCCUUGUACACACCGCCCGUCAAGCCACGGGAGCGGGUAGCGCUCGAAGUCGUUUUGUCUAACCGCAAGGAGGACGGCGCCGAAAGCGAGAUCCGUGAGAUCGGAAGAGCGUCGUGUAGGGAAAGAGUG